rnacentral:rRNA from 1 species
UACGGAGGGAGCUAGCGUUGUUCGGAAUUACUGGGCGUAAAGCGCACGUAGGCGGAUCUGCGAGUCAGAGGUGAAAUCCCAGGGCUCAACCUUGGAACUGCCUUUGAAACUGCGGGUCUUGAGUUCGAGAGAGGUGAGUGGAAUUCCGAGUGUAGAGGUGAAAUUCGUAGAUAUUCGGAGGAACACCAGUGGCGAAGGCGGCUCACUGGCUCGAUACUGACGCUGAGGUGCGAAAGCGUGGGGAGCAAACAGG